GACUUUCAGAAUUUGCUCAUUGGUAUUUUUUUCUUAGGUGUACCACUAAUUUAACACAGGUACUUGCACUGGAACAUAAAUAAUGGAGUAAAAUUUCUUAGUAUUAACUUUGAAGGAAGGCUCUUCACUUCUCCAGAUGUGGAGAAAUUGCACAAGAUUUUCUAGCUCUAUGCAUAGUCAAGACUUUAGAAACUUGCUCGCCGGCAUCAUUGCAAUUGAUGGAAACACUUCUUAUCAUUAGCUUACUGCAUGCUGGAACAGGUGAAGGGGCAUUGGUGCGGCUCCGCUAAUUGCUAGCAUUUUGAAGUCCUUGGGUGUACUUCCUUAUGGCGGGCGAGCGACUUGAUUGACCGUUGUGCCGAUGCGUUAAUUGUGAAAUGUAGUUUUUCUAGCCUCUCAAUGGAUUCAUGUGAGAAGUACCUCUGAAUGGUGUUGAGACGCACAGGGAAUAAGGGCAUUUGGUGUUGUUGGUUUGGUGAUUGCAGUAGUAAGAAAAAGCUGGAAUUGUUUGAACUGCUACUGAGUUUAUGAUGAGUUGGUGGUGCUGAGUUGAAUUGCAGCAAGGAGGUGAUGGUUGUUUACAGUGAAGGUUGAAAUGAUUGCAGGUGGUUUGCAAUUACACCAAUGAUUGCAUGUGGUUUUUCAUUGAAAUGAUUGCAGGUGGUUUGUGAUGUAAAAGCUGGCUGCAGAUAGUUGAGUUGCAGUUGAUAGUGGUACUGUGCUUAGAGCUGAAAUGCAGAGAAGGUUGGAUGUGUGUUGGCCUGUGUUUGAAUGGAGUUACAAGUAAAUUAGCACGGCAGGUGAUUGAAGCUGCAGUUUGUUGUAGUGGGUAUGUGGUGUUUGAGUCUGCAAUGGAAAGAAGGGAAUGAAUAUGUGCUUGAAAUGUGUUAUUGCGGAAGAUAUAACUGAUGUAUAAAGGAAAGAAGAGAAUGGCUGGAAUGGUGGAGCUAUUGUGUGCAGUUACCAUGGAACGGGGCGAGGCGAAGCCGAGCUACACCAAAUCAAGAAUCCUAAGCAUGCAUCAGGACAGAGCAA